UUUGGAGAGUUUGAUCCUGGCUCAGGACGAACGCUGGCGGCGUGCCUAAUACAUGCAAGUCGAGCGGAGCUUAUCCUUCGGGGUAAGCUUAGCGGCGGACGGGUGAGUAACACGUAGGCAACCUACCCUCUAGACUGGGAUAACUACCGGAAACGGUAGCUAAUACCGGAUAAUUCCUUCACCCUCAUGGGCGAGGGAUGAAAGGCGGAGCAAUCUGUUACUAGAGGAUGGGCCUGCGGCGCAUUAGCUAGUUGGUGGGGUAACGGCCUACCAAGGCGACGAUGCGUAGCCGACCUGAGAGGGUGAACGGCCACACUGGGACUGAGACACGGCCCAGACUCCUACGGGAGGCAGCAGUAGGGAAUCUUCCGCAAUGGGCGAAAGCCUGACGGAGCAACGCCGCGUGAGUGAUGAAGGUUUUCGGAUCGUAAAGCUCUGUUGCCAGGGAAGAACGUCCGGUAGAGUAACUGCUACCGGAGUGACGGUACCUGAGAAGAAA
rnacentral:rRNA from 2 species